rnacentral:rRNA from 1 species
UAGGGAAUCUUCCACAAUGGACGCAAGUCUGAUGGAGCAACGCCGCGUGAGUGAAGAAGGUUUUCGGAUCGUAAAGCUCUGUUGUAAGAGAAGAACGUGUGUGAGAGUGGAAAGUUCACACAGUGACGGUAACUUACCAGAAAGGGACGGCUAACUACGUGCUAG